AAACAUUGGGCACUACAUAGAAUGGGAACUCGGCCGAUUCAUCUACAUCUGCAAAAGCAAAACAUAUUCAACAGAAGUCAAUUAGUCUGAAGUGUCGCGGUUUU